rnacentral:pre_miRNA from 1 species
UCUUAUGGAUGAGCAAAGGAAGAGGUUCCUUUAGAUGGAAUCGACUCCUGGUGAUGAUGCUGUGAA